UACGGUAAUAAACAAGGAACUCGAUUCUCGGGGAAACAUCCAUAGGCAUGCGGGUCCAUCAGCGCAAGACAAUCUAAUAGAGCCUCCAAAUGUACUUGUGUGUUGCGACGCCCAUCCGUUACCCAGUUGGAAAUAUAAAAGCUUGAAAGAGUGAACUAUAGGCAAGCACACACUUGAAACGUCCACAUAAAAUGACGAAUAAAUGGAAAAAGGCUACCAAUUAUUCAACGAUGACAAGGACAAGUAAAUAGCGUAAAACGCCUACAAACAACAGACGGACAGACAAUACCAAAUAAAAAAAACACAGAACGACGGAACAAGCUCACAUCUGAUGUAAACCACACGUGUUACGCGGAGGCCAAUUACACCUUACGAUUAUACAACAAACAAUUAAUUAUUUCAUGCUAAUCGAGUAUUCGCACGUCACAUAGUAAAAUGUAAAUUGAUUAAAAAAGCGUUCUAGAUAACAAUGUUGAAUCGAAUAUCAACCUAAUUAAAUCGUCGUCCGAAGCACACGGUCUCACUUUAAACGCUAACACACAAUACUUAUUAAAAGCAGAAACACCAGAAUCAAGAACACUCAUAUCGAAUUAGAAAAUUUAAAAUUUAUAGGUCUAAAUCCCCCAAUCAGCCACGCCCCUUUGGAAAAACCUCGCAUCUCCAGUGACAACUUCCUAAUUGCGAAUCUUUACAGUGAGGAGUAGUCAAUGGGAAGUUACAGAUUUACUUGUGUUUACUGUAAUACCGAUUUCAUUUGCGUCUUCACUGCAUAAAAAUUGAUGCGUUUGAUGACAUAUUAUAAAUGUAUGCAAUUUUGCAAUGCUGUUUUGUUGUUAAACUAUGGUUGUUCUUGUUUUGGAUUCCCCUAUACUCAAUUUUUGCACCAUAGUGAUUAAAGCAACACUUAUCGAAAA